rnacentral:lncRNA from 1 species
GUUUUAAAAAUGUAAGUUUCUCUGCACAAGCUCUCUUUUUGCCUGCUGCCAUCCACGUAAGAUGUGACUUGCACCUCCUUGUCUUCUGCCACGAUUGUGAGGCUUCCCCAGCCAUGUGGAACUGCCCUGUUCAAAUGGUUACAAAGUUCAGCUAGAGAAUUCCUUCUCCCUGUAGAGUUUUACCCCCUGCUCCUCUGGCCGCCCUCCGGAUGGAUCUUUGUGUUGCCAGGCAGGAAUGGGCUGCUUGGGGACCCAGUGAGCUCCGAGGGCCUUUCUGCUGCUUCCUGUACCCCUGUAUUUCGCUCAGCUCUCUGACUUGACUCAGCUCCAGGAAUAUUCUUUCAUUAAUAUUACAUGCUUAUGGAACUUUACCUAUUGAUUAAAGGCAUCUACCCCUGGAGAAAGAGCCCAAUGAGAAGUAAUCUCUGAAGCCCAGAUUUCCUAAGGAUGAAGCUUCAGGAGAGGCCUUAUCAAUCCUGACAACAAACUUUUCUCGUCAAUUUAGUUUCAUUUAAUGGAAGUUUUAAAUGUGUAAAGUUCAGAAGGCUAUUAAAAUUGGUUCCAGCUAUCUAAGAUACACACACAACCACACACGCGCACACACGGUAGAGAUAAAUAUGUUCGAAAAUCCAGCUCAAUGUUACUAGAAAAUUUGAUCAGAAUCUGGUGAAAUAAAUAGUAAACUUACUAAAAAUGCCAAAUAUCCCAGAAGCUGCUUAACAUUUGAUCAAAAGCUCUGUCCAGUCAAUUCCUGCUUCUUUCAAAAAUACUCUGCUGAAAAGCCAAAGGAGAAAUGGGGCUGGUACCUUCAAUAUAGAGAAUUCCAAGUAAGAUUAGAUCCCAGAAGGCUUAGUGUGGCUUUCUAGGACUCUCACUAUUAGGCAGUAACCUACCAUUCACCUCUGUUUCCCAGAUUCACCUUGUUAUACCUUAUAACUUAAAAUAUAAAUUCCAACAAUGUACUGCACUCAAAAAAAUUAUUUCUCAAUUUGUUUGCUCAUACUAUUGAUUUUUUUCUAGAAUCUAAAUAAUUGUGAAUUAACUAUGAUAGCAGUAUGCACAAACAGUAAGUGAAAUCAGACCUAUUAAUUCUGAGAGGAAGGAGGUGUCAGGAUUUUCACAGAAGAAGAGCACUAAGGCCAGGCGCAGUGGCUCAUGCCUGUAAUCCCAGCACUUUGGGAGGCUGAGGCAGGCGGAUCAGGAGGUCAGGAGUUCUAGACCAGCCAGACAAACAUGGUGAAACCCCGUCUCUACUAAAAAUACAAAAAUUACACGCCUGUAAUCCCAGCUACUCAGGAGGCUGAGGCAGAAGAAUCGCUUAAACCCGGGAGGCGGAGGUUGCAGUGAGCUGAGAUCGCGCGACUGCACUCCAGCUUGGGCGACAGAGCAAGACUCCAUCAAAAAAAAAAAAAAAAAAAUACAAAUAUGCCUUCCCAAUCAUCUCCCAAAGUCUCAACUCAUUCCAGCGUUAACUCAAAGACCAAAAUUCAAAGUCUCAUCUGAAACAAGGUGUUGCCAAAGGAGAUUAUUAUUUGAGUCAGAGGACUGGGAGAAGCAGACCUACCCUCGAUCUGGGUGGGUGUCAUCUAGUCAGCUGCCAGUGUGGCUAGAAUGAAGCAGGCAGAAGUUGGAAAGAGCAGACCUGCUGAGUCUUCUGGCCCUCACCGUUCUCCCGUGCUGGAUUCUUCUGGCCCUCAAACAUCAGACUCCACGUUCUUCAGCUUUUGGACUCAUGGACUUACACCAGUGGUGUGCCAGGGCCUCUUGAGCCUUUGGUCACAGACUGAAGGCUACACUGUCAGCUUCUCUAAUUUUGAGGUUUUGGGACUCAGACUGAUCCACCACUGGCUUCCUUGCUCCUCAACUUGCAGAUGGCUUCUCACGGGACUUGACUUUAUGAUCAUGCUUGGCCAAUAAGAUGUUCCUGCCUAAGACUUUGAAUCUGGAAUGGGGAACACAGAGAACAUGAGCAACGAAGAAUUAUUCACAGCACAGCACAGCAGUGCUGACAGCAUCGACAGUCCUGUGGUGCCAGCAAGAAUCCAAAAGAAGUGUCCUACAUAAAUUCCCUUAAUCACUGACCAUUUAAUGAGGCUGAUUCAGCCUCAUACAAAUUUUGUAUGCUUCUUCAUACAAUUUUUAAUUGUGCUGUAAAAGUUAACCAGAGACAAUUUCUGUUGCUUGCACACAGUAAGUUGACUAAGCAAAAAAAUUCAGGAGAGAUUAUUUUAUAGAAGUCAAUGCAAAUGCAUUAAUUUACAAGAAGUGAAACUGCAAGUUCACUUUGCUGCCUUAUGGCCAGCAUAUUCUCUUACAAGGGAAGUCUAUAUGGCAAUCUGUGUUAUGAUCAGAAGAUUUGGGAAAGAUGGAAUCUGUGAGAGAGUUUUAUGACACACGGUUACAACUGAUCACAGGAUCAAACACUAAAACUCCAAUAUAUAUAUUUAUUCUUAUUAGCAAAGCUUUUAUGCUAUGGAGGAAAAAGAAAAAGAAAUAAGAAAUUCUGAGUUUCUCUAAACUUCCAGUAUGUGGAUGAGUUAAAAACUAUGUCAUCUUGGAUUCCCCAUUUUAAAUAUUUCAUAAUAAUGCAUUAUAAUUGGUACAUGUUAAUAUCAAUUUUUUCUUUUGCUGUUUUUGAAGUGGUGUGAAUCACCUGUAACAAGGUUUCCUUAUCAUCCAUUUAAUUAUUGUCCUAUAAUAUACUUUUCAAUACAGCAACUACUUUUUAUGUUUUGGGAUUACUUUUACUAUUGUUAGAUAAAACCUAUGGUUGAUUGUGUGCCUCUAGAAGAACUUCAAAAGUACAAUAUAAAUCUUGCUAACAAUA